AUAAAACAGAACUAUUUUGUGUAUGAUAUAACAGAACCAUUUUUUGUAGGAUAGUACGGGACUAUUGUGUGUAAGAUAGAACAGAACUACAAAUGUAGUUUGUGUAUCAUAAAUUAGAAAUAUAUUGUACAUCAUCGUAUGAAUAUGUUUAAGGUUACAUUUGAAGACAGUUAGUCCCACAAACAUUUGACGCCCUAAGAUAAACAAUACAGCGCAGACAAAUCCAUUUUCCUUAUGGUAAAAAAUUGACAAAUUAUGACAGAAAAAUAGAUAGAGGGAGAUCACGAUCAAUUCCUUGAGACAUUUGACCUGGACGUUUCUAAGAACUGUCAUACAAAACGACAACACAACUGUUCGAUGUUUAUUUACAACACAUUGAAAAACAACGUGGGACUUCGUGACACGCAAUUGCUGAUAGAUAAAUGGCCCCCACCGCCAAAAGCAAAUGUACUAUAUGAAGCUUAGCCAUUUCACAUCUUCGGGAAAAUUGGAGCUGGUCCUUAGAGAACGGAGAACGUCAUUAUGAUAAUUAUCGUUGACAGUCCCGUGUCUGCGCUGAAUUAUGAAAUUGACUUAAAUUCGACGUUUGGCUGGCGAUUCCAUCAUUUGGGUGCUUUCUUCUGGCAGGGAAACGAAAUCUCUGGAACUUAUAAAAAUGAUUAAGGUGGUUGUGCUCGCUCUCCUCUGCUUCACGGUCCUCCUCCAUCAGUCGCACGGGCUGGGAUUCCAGAACAUCAUCUGUAGAGACCGGUGUCGCUACAGGUUUAAGCAGUGUCUGGACUUGUGUGUCGAAAAGAAUGAUCUCGAAAAGGACUUCAGUGGUGGUUACGAGGAAUGCAUGAAUUUGUGCUCUCAGCUACUUUUGUUGCCGUGCAGCUGCCCCUAGUCAUAACGUUAAAGACGAUCUAGCCUCGGGGCUGGGCCUCGGUCAAAAGUACAUGUAUAUCAAUGGCACGUGUAUGACGCACUUUCUUUUGAAAGCAAAAAAUCCGCCUGAAACUUUGACUUUGUUUUGAAUUUAACAUCAGCUAGUAAGAAUCAUUUUGAUUUAAAAUCAUGUAAUUGAAUUUAAGCCUGUACAUUUUGAGAAUAUUGUUAAAAGUGUCAGCAGACCAUUGCUGAUAUAUUUUGCAAUAAAUGUUUCAUGUAUCUACAAUAAAGAUCUGUAAAUUAAAAAGCCUGGUUUUCACCGGACAAAUUUC